rnacentral:tRNA from 2 species
CGGGGUGUAGUUUAAUGGUAGAAUGCGCGGCUGGGGGUCGUGCGGUCUGAGUUCGAUUCUCAGCACCCCGA